ACUCAAUCCUCAUACGUGCGACACUCCUCCGUCUCGGGAUUAUCCUUACAAAAAUCCUCAAGGGGGUCCGAAUCCUUGAGGCGGUCACGUGCGUGGCUGGCGGCGGCGCUGAGCUCCUCCACCUCAUCCCACGCCGCCGCGCACUCGCCGCUCGCCGGAUCCUCCGAGCACGUCUCCUCUGCGUUCUUUAUGCUCUCCACCACCUUCUCCGAUAUCCGGUCCGGUGCCGCCGCCACCGGUCCAACUGCGCUCAUCCGACCGGCGGUCCACUGCUUCCAUGGGUAGCUGAGCCGGGCGGAUCGGAGGACCGGCGAUUCGAUUUUCGGCGAGUCAGCCACCGCCUUUGAGGCUGCCAUAGUAGCACCGGAGAUCGCUGCCAUUUUCUUUUCUCGAUCGGAAACUGGAGCGGUGGAUUGGAUAAUAG
rnacentral:misc_RNA from 1 species